UUAUCAAAAACAUCGCCUCUUGCAAAACUAACGAAUAAGAGGUCACGCCUGCCCGGUGACUUUAAGUUUAACGGCCGCGGUAUUUUGACCGUGCAAAGGUAGCGCAAUCACUUGUCUUUUAAAUGGAGACCUGUAUGAAUGGCAUCACGAGGGCUUAACUGUCUCCUUUCUCUGGCCAAUGAAAUUGAUCUCCCCGUGCAGAAGCGGGGAUAAAAACAUAAGACGAGAAGACCCUAUGGAGCUUUAGACACCAAGACAGCUUACGUCAAAGGCCUCAUAUAAAAGAUUGAACUACAUAAAUCUCUGUCCUAAUGUCUUCGGUUGGGGCGACCCUGGGGAGAUAAAGAACCCCCAUGAGGACUGGAGAGAUAUCUCCAAAACUAAGAGCUCCCGCUCUAAGAAGCAGAACUUCUGACUGCAAGAUCCGGCAACGCCGAUCAACGGACCGAGUUACCCUAGGGAUAACAGCGCAAUCCUCUUCUAGAGCCCUUAUCGACAAGGGGUUUACGACCUCGAUGUUGGAUCAGGACAUCCUAAUGGUGCAGCCGCUAUUAAGGGUUCGUUUGUUCAACGAUUAAAGUCCUACGUGAUCUGAGUUCA
rnacentral:rRNA from 1 species